rnacentral:rRNA from 1 species
ACUCCUACGGGAGGCAGCAGUGGGGAAUAUUGGACAAUGGGCGGAAGCCUGAUCCAGCCAUGCCGCGUGUGUGAAGAAGGCCUUUUGGUUGUAAAGCACUUUAAGCGAGGAGGAGGCUCCUUUAGUUAAUACCUAAAGAGAGUGGACGUUACUCGCAGAAUAAGCACCGGCUAACUCUGUGCCAGCAGCCGCGGUAAUACAGA